rnacentral:rRNA from 1 species
GACGAACGCUGGCGGCGUGCUUAACACAUGCAAGUCGAACGGAAAGGCCCUGCUUUUGUGGGGUGCUCGAGUGGCGAACGGGUGAGUAACAAGUGAGUAACCUGCCCUUGACUUUGGGAUAACUUCAGGAAACUGGGGCUAAUAACGGAUAGGAGCUCCUGCUGCAUGGUGGGGGUUGGAAAGUUUCGGCGGUUGGGGAUGGACUCGCGGCUUAUCAGCUUGUUGGUGGGGUAGUGGCUUACCAAGGCUUUGACGGGUAGCCGGCCUGAGAGGGUGACCGGCCACAUUGGGACUGAGAUACGGCCCAGACUCCUACGGGAGGCAGCAGUGGGGAGUAUUGCACAAUGGGCGGAAGCCUGAUGCAGCAACGCCGCGUGCGGGAUGACGGCCUUCGGGUUGUGAACCGCUUUCGCCUGUGACGAAGCGUGAGUGACGGUAAUGGGUAAAGAAGCACCGGCUAACUACGUG